rnacentral:rRNA from 1 species
UGAAUACGAGAUGCUACGGCGUCGAAGCAGUGUAUGUCAGACUUCCAAGAAAAGCUCGCAAUGUCAUAAAUAAAGAAUGCCUGUACCAUAACCGACACAGGUGGGUAGGUAGAGUAUACUAAGGGGCGCGAGAUAACUCUCUCUAAGGAACUCGGCAAAAUAACUCCGUAACUUCGGGAGAAGGAGUGCCUUCUUUAAGAAGGUUGCAAUAACAAGAUCCAAGCAACUGUUUAUCAAAAACACAGGUCUCCGCUAAGUCGUAAGACGAUGUAUGGGGGCUGACGCCUGCCCAGUGCCAGAAGGUUAAAGAAGUUGGUUAGCUUUUGCGAAGCUGAUGACUGAAGCCCUGGUGAACGGCGGCCGUAACAAUAACGGUCCUAAGGUAGCGAAAUUCCUUGUCGGGUAAGUCCCGACCCGCACGAAAGGCGUAAUGAUUUGGAUACUGUCUCGGAGAGGGACUCGGUGAAAUAGACUUGUCUGUGAAGAUGCGGACUACCUGCACCAGGACAGAAAGACCCUAUGAAGCUUUACUGUAACUUGAAAUUGAAAUUGGACUUUAUUUGCGCAGUAUAGGUGGAAGGCGUUGAAAGUAAUCUUGCGGGAUUAGUGGAGCCAUCAGUGAGAUACCACUCCUAUAAUGUUAGAUUUCUAACUUUGGAUCAUGAUCUGGUCAAAGAACAGUUUCAGGCGGGCAGUUUGACUGGGGCGGUCGCCUCCCAAAUGGUAACGGAGGCGUACAAAGGUUUCCUCUGAACGGGUAGAAAUCGUAUCUAGAGUGUAAAGGCAUAAGGAAGCUUGACUGUGAGACCUACAAGUCGAGCAGGGACGAAAGUCGGUCUUAGUGAUCUGACGGUGCUGAGUGGAAAGGCCGUCACUCAACGGAUAAAAGUUACUCUAGGAUAACAGGCUGAUCUCCCCCAAGAGUUCACAUCGACGGGGAGGUUUGGCACCUCGAUGUCGGCUCAUCGCAUCCUGGGGCGGUAGUACGUCCCAAGGGUUGGGCUGUUCGCCCAUGAAAGCGGUACGCGAGCUGGGUUCAGAACGUCGUGAGACAGUUCGGUCCAUAUCCGGUGUAGGCGUUAGAAUAUUGAGAGGAGCCUUCUUUAGUACGAGAGGACCGAGAAGGACAUACCUCUGGUGUACCAGUUAUCGUGCCAACGGUAAACGCUGGGUAGCUAUGUAUGGAGAGGAUAACCGCUGAAAGCAUCUAAGUGGGAAGCCCACCUCAAGAUGAGUAUUCUCAC